rnacentral:rRNA from 1 species
UUAAGUUAAUAAGGGCGCACGGUGGAUGCCUUGGCACUAGGAGCCGACGAAGGACGUGACAAACGACGAUAUGCCUUGGGUAGCUGUAAGUAAGCGAUGAUCCAGGGAUUUCCGAAUGGGGGAACCCAACAGGUAAUACCUGUUACCUACAUCUGUUAAGGAUGUGAGGAGGAAGACGCAGUGAACUGAAACAUCUAAGUAGCUGCAGGAAGAGAAAGCAAAAGCGAUUGCCUUAGUAGCGGCGAGCGAAACGGCAGAAGGGCAAACCGAAGAGUUUACUCUUCGGGGUUGUAGGACUGCAAUGUGGACUCAAAGAUUAUAGAAGAAUGAUUUGGGAAGAUCAGCCAAAGAGAGUAAUAGCCUCGUAUUUAAAAUAGUCUUUGUACUUAGCAGUAUCCUGAGUACGGCGGGACACGUGAAAUCCCGUCGGAAUCUGGGAGGACCAUCUCCCAACCCUAAAUACUCCCUAGUGACCGAUAGUGAACCAGUACCGUGAGGGAAAGGUGAAAAGCACCCCGGGAGGGGAGUGAAAUAGAACCUGAAACCGUGUGCCUACAACAAGUUCGAGCCCGUUAAUGGGUGAGAGCGUGCCUUUUGUAGAAUGAACCGGCGAGUUACGUUAUGAUGCGAGGUUAAGUUGAAGAGACGGAGCCGUAGGGAAACCGAGUCUGAAUAGGGCGCCUUAGUAUCAUGACGUAGACCCGAAACCAUGUGACCUACCCAUGAGCAGGUUGAAGGUGCGGUAAGACGCACUGGAGGACCGAACCAGGGCACGUUGAAAAGUGCUUGGAUGACUUGUGGGUAGCGGAGAAAUUCCAAACGAACUUGGAGAUAGCUGGUUCUCUCCGAAAUAGCUUUAGGGCUAGCGUCGACAUUAGAGAUUCUUGGAGGUAGAGCACUGUUUGGGUGAGGGGUCCAUCCCGGAUUACCAAUCUCAGAUAAACUCCGAAUGCCAAUGAAUUAUGGUCGGCAGUCAGACUGCGAGUGCUAAGAUCCGUAGUCGAAAGGGAAACAGCCCAGACCACCAGCUAAGGUCCCAAAAUAAUUGUUAAGUGGAAAAGGAUGUGGGGUUGCACAGACAACUAGGAUGUUAGCUUAGAAGCAGCUAUUCAUUCAAAGAGUGCGUAAUAGCUCACUAGUCGAGUGACCCUGCGCCGAAAAUGUACCGGGGCUAAAACAAUUUACCGAAGCUGUGGAUACCUUUAUAGGUAUGGUAGGAGAGCGUUCUAUGUGUGAUGAAGGUAUACCGUGAGGAGUGCUGGAACGCAUAGAAGUGAGAAUGCCGGUAUGAGUAGCGAAAGACAGGUGAGAAUCCUGUCCACCGUAAGACUAAGGUUUCCAGGGGAAGGCUCGUCCGCCCUGGGUUAGUCGGGACCUAAGGAGAGACCGAAAGGUGUAUCCGAUGGACAACAGGUUGAUAUUCCUGUACUAGAGUAUGUAGUGAUGGAGGGACGCAGUAGGCUAACUAAAGCAGACGAUUGGAAGAGUCUGUCUAAGCAGUGAGGUGUGAAUUGAGUCAAAUGCUUAAUUCUAUAACAUUGAGCUGUGAUGGGGAGCGAAGUUUAGUAGCGAAGUUAGUGACGUCACACUGCCAAGAAAAGCUUCUAGCGUUUAAACAUACUCUACCCGUACCGCAAACCGACACAGGUAGUCGAGGCGAGUAGCCUCAGGUGAGCGAGAGAACUCUCGUUAAGGAACUCGGCAAAAUGACCCCGUAACUUCGGGAGAAGGGGUGCUGACUUAAAGUCAGCCGCAGUGAAUAGGCCCAAGCAACUGUUUAUCAAAAACACAGCUCUCUGCUAAAUCGUAAGAUGAUGUAUAGGGGGUGACGCCUGCCCGGUGCUGGAAGGUUAAGAGGAGUGCUUAGCGUAAGCGAAGGUAUGAAUUGAAGCCCCAGUAAACGGCGGCCGUAACUAUAACGGUCCUAAGGUAGCGAAAUUCCUUGUCGGGUAAGUUCCGACCCGCACGAAAGGCGUAAUGAUUUGGGCACUGUCUCAACGAGAGACUCGGUGAAAUUUUAGUACCUGUGAAGAUGCAGGUUACCCGCGACAGGACGGAAAGACCCCAUGGAGCUUUACUGCAGUUUGAUAUUGAGUGUCUGUACCACAUGUACAGGAUAGGUAGGAGUCUAAGAGAUCGGGACGCCAGUUUCGAAGGAGACGCUGUUGGGAUACUACCCUUGUGUUAUGGCCACUCUAACCCAGAUAGGUGAUCCCUAUCGGAGACAGUGUCUGACAGGCAGUUUGACUGGGGCGGUCGCCUCCUAAAAGGUAACGGAGGCGCCCAAAGGUUCCCUCAGAAUGGUUGGAAAUCAUUCGCAGAGUGUAAAGGUAUAAGGGAGCUUGACUGCGAGAGCUACAACUCGAGCAGGGACGAAAGUCGGGCUUAGUGAUCCGGUGGUUCCGUAUGGAAGGGCCAUCGCUCAACGGAUAAAAGCUACCCUGGGGAUAACAGGCUUAUCUCCCCCAAGAGUUCACAUCGACGGGGAGGUUUGGCACCUCGAUGUCGGCUCGUCGCAUCCUGGGGCUGUAGUCGGUCCCAAGGGUUGGGCUGUUCGCCCAUUAAAGCGGCACGCGAGCUGGGUUCAGAACGUCGUGAGACAGUUCGGUCCCUAUCCGUCGCGGGCGUAGGAAAUUUGAGAGGAUCUGCUCCUAGUACGAGAGGACCAGAGUGGACUUACCGCUGGUGUACCAGUUGUCUUGCCAAAGGCAUCGCUGGGUAGCUAUGUAGGGAAGGGAUAAACGCUGAAAGCAUCUAAGUGUGAAACCCACCUCAAGAUGAGAUUUCCCAUGAUUAUAUAUCAGUAAGAGCCCUGAGAGAUGAUCAGGUAGAUAGGUUAGAAGUGGAAGUGUGGCGACACAUGUAGCGGACUAAUACUAAUAGCUCGAGGACUUAUCCAA